rnacentral:rRNA from 1 species
AAUGAACGCUGGCGGCAUGCCUAACACAUGCAAGUCGAGCGAACAGACGGGGAUUUUUCUCGUAUGACGUUGUCGGCGGACGGGUGAUUCCCACGUGUCUGACCUACCUCUAAGACUGUGGUACCUUCACGGAACCUGAGCUACUACCGGAUAAUAUAUUGAACCUCAUGGUUCAAUCGUCCAAGACGCUUUUGCUGUCACUUAUAGAUGGAUCCGCGGCGCAUUAGCUAGUUGGUACGGUAACGGCUUACCCAGGCUACGAUGCGUAGACGACCUGAGAGGGUGAUCGGCCACACUGGAACUGAGACACGGUCCAGACUCCUACGGGAGGCAGCAGUAGGGAAUCUUCCGCAAUGGGCGAAAGCCUGAUGGAGCAACGCCGCGUGAGUGAUGAAGGUCUUCGGAUCGUAAAACUCUGUUAGUAGGGAGGAAGAAAAGUGUAUUUACCUAUGCCGGUCUUGACGGUACCUAAUGAGAAAGCCCCGGCUAACUUCGUG